UCAUUAUUAUUUUCUUUGAGGACGUAA
rnacentral:piRNA from 1 species